GUCUCUGAAGCGCAAUGGAUAGCGCAUUGGACUUUUAAUCCAAAGCUCGUGUGCCCAAUUACCACCUGGGAGG